UAUAAAAUUGGUGUAAAUAGCCGGCAAUUGAUUUCAGAGUACUUUGAGAUACAAUAAGGAACUCAACAUGUGACAAUCUUUAACGUCCUUGGUUAAUCUCAAGCUUUACUUGCUUCAGCAUAAGCAGGAUACUUCCAUAUACCCCAACCCACCAAAGCCAUCACCUGUGAAAUCUGGAUAAGUAUCAUGUACAGGUUGAUGG
rnacentral:misc_RNA from 1 species